rnacentral:rRNA from 1 species
GACGAACGCUGGCGGCGUGCUUAACACAUGCAAGUCGAACGGAAAGGCCCUGCUUUUGUGGGGUGCUCGAGUGGCGAACGGGUGAGUAACACGUGAGUAACCUGCCCUUGACUUUGGGAUAACUUCAGGAAACUGGGGCUAAUACCGUAUAGGAGCUCCUGCUGCAUGGUGGGGGUUGGAAAGUUUCGGCGGUUGGGGAUGGACUCGCGGCUUAUCAGCUUGUUGGUGGGGUAGUGGCUUACCAAGGCUUUGACGGGUAGCCGGCCUGAGAGGGUGACCGGCCACAUUGGGACUGAGAUACGGACCAGACUGCUACGGGAGGCAGCAGUGGGGAAUAUUGCACAAUGGGCGGAAGCCUGAUGCAGCAACGCCGCGUGCGGGAUGACGGCCUUCGGGUUGUAAACCGCUUUCGCCUGUGACGAAGCGUGAGUGACGGUAAUGGGUAAAGAAGCACCGGCUAACUACGUG